rnacentral:rRNA from 1 species
CGGGAGCUUGCACAGGUGCUGCAUGGCUGUCGUCAGCUCGUGUCGUGAGAUGUUCGGUUAAGUCCGCUAACGAGCGCAACCCUCGCUGUGUGUUAUAUGUGUCACACGGGACUGCCGGUCUUAAGCCGGAGGAAGGUGGGGAUGAUGUCAAGUCAGCAUGGCCUUUAUAUCCUGGGCUACACACACGCUACAAUGGCCAACACAAUAGGUUGCUAAGCCGCGAGGUGGCGCCAAUACCAUAAAGUUGGUCUCAGUUCAGAUUGUAGGCUGCAACCCGCCUGCAUGAAGAUGGAGUUGCUAGUAACCGCAGGUCAGCUAUACUGCGGUGAAUACGUUCCCGGGGCUU